UUAGGAAUAUUCGUCAAUGGAGGAAACUCUGAACGAGCAAUGCCGCGUGAGUGAUGAAGGUCUUAUAGAUUGUAAAACUCUGUUGUAUGGAAAAAACGACUAGGUUAGGAAAUGAACUUAGUGUGAUGGUACCAUACCAGAAAGCCCCGGCUAACUACGUGCCAGCAGCCGCGGUAAUACGUAGGGGGCGAGCGUUAUCCGGAUUUAUUGGGCGUAAAGCGUGUGUAGGCGGUUUGUUAAGUUUAAGAUUAAAGCCCGGGGCUCAACUCCGGUAAGUCUUAAAAACUGGCAGGCUUGAGUACGGUAGAGGCAAACGGAAUUUCUAGUGUAGCGGUGAAAUGCGUAGAUAUUAGAAGGAACACCAGUGGCGAAAGCGGUUUGCUGGGCCGUUACUGACGCUGAGGCACGAAAGCGUGGGGAGCAAAUAGG
rnacentral:rRNA from 1 species